GGUAAAAGAUGGGCCCGCAUCUGAUUAGCUAGUUGGUGAGAUAACAGCCCACCAAGGCGACGAUCAGUAGCCGACCUGAGAGGGUGACCGGCCACAUUGGGACUGAGACACGGCCCAAACUCCUACGGGAGGCAGCAGUGGGGAAUAUUGCACAAUGGGGGGAACCCUGAUGCAGCAACGCCGCGUGAAGGAAGACGGUUUUCGGAUUGUAAACUUCUAUCAAUAGGGAAGAAAGAAAUGACGGUACCUAAAUAAGAAGCCCCGGCUAACUACGUGCCAGCAGCCGCGGUAAUACGUAGGGGGCAAGCGUUAUCCGGAAUUACUGGGUGUAAAGGGAGAGUAGGCGGCAAGGUAAGCGAUAUGUGAAAGCCUUAGGCUUAACCUGAGGAUUGCAUAACGAACUAUCUAGCUAGAGUACAGGAGAGGAAAGCGGAAUUCCUAGUGUAGCGGUGAAAUGCGUAGAUAUUAGGAAGAACACCAGUGGCGAAGGCGGCUUUCUGGACUGAAACUGACGCUGAGGCUCGAAAGCGUGGGGAGCGAACAGGAUUAGAUACCCUGGUAGUCCACGCUGUAAACGAUGAGUGCUAGGUGUCGGGGAGGAAUCCUCG
rnacentral:rRNA from 1 species